GUGAGGAAUAUUGCGCAAUGGAGGCAACUCUGACGCAGCCAUGCCGCGUGCAGGAAGAAGGCGCUACGCGUUGUAAACUGCUUUUAACCGGGAAGAAACCCCAGGACGUGUCCUGGGUUGACGGUACCGGAGGAAUAAGCACCGGCUAACUUCGUGCCAGCAGCCGCGGUAAUACGAAGGGUGCAAGCGUUAUCCGGAUUCAUUGGGUUUAAAGGGUGCGUAGGCGGAGCGUUAAGUCAGUGGUGAAAUCCUGCAGCUUAACUGUAGACUUGCCAUUGAUACUGGCGCUCUUGAGUGCGCUUGAAGUGGACGGAAUGUGCCGUGUAGCGGUGAAAUGCUUAGAUAUGGCACAGAACACCAAUUGCGAAGGCAGCUCACUAAGGCGAUACUGACGCUGAGGCACGAAAGCGUGGGGAUCGAACAGGAUUAGAAACCCUUGUAGUCC
rnacentral:rRNA from 1 species